UCGAACGCGAAAGUGGAGCAUCCAUGAGUAGAGUGGCAAACGGGUGAGUAACACGUGGGUGACCUGCCUUCGAGCGGGGGAUAACGUCCCGAAAGGGACGCUAAUACCGCAUAACAUCCUGCCUUUUAAGAGGUGGAGAUCAAAGCCGGGGAUCGCAAGACCUGGCACUUGAAGAGGGGCCCGCGCCUGAUUGGCUAGUUGGUGGGGUAAUGGCUCACCAAGGCAACGAUCAGUAUCCGGCCUGAGAGGGCGGACGGACACACUGGGACUGAGACACGGCCCAGACUCCUACGGGAGGCAGCAGUGGGGAAUUGUUCGCAAUGGGCGCAAGCCUGACGACGCAACGCCGCGUGGAGGAUGAAGACCUUCGGGUCGUAAACUCCUUUCGAUCGAGACGAAUGGUUUCCGGGUAAACAAUCCGGAGAAGUGACGGUACCGAGAGAAGAAGCCCCGGCUAACUCCGUGCCAGCAGCCGCGGUAAUACGGGGGGGGCAAGCGUUGUUCGGAAUUACUGGGCGUAAAGGGCUCGUAGGUGGCCAACUAAGUCAGACGUGAAAUCCCUCAGCUUAACUGGGGAACUGCGUCUGAUACUGGAUGGCUUGAGUUUGGGAGAGGGAUGCGGAAUUCCAGGUGUAGCGGUGAAAUGCGUAGAUAUCUGGAGGAACACCGGUGGCGAAGGCGGCAUCCUGGACCAAUACUGACACUGAGGAGCGAAAGCCAGGGGAGCAAACGGGAUUAGAUACCCCGGUAGUCCUGGCCCUAAACG
rnacentral:rRNA from 1 species